UACGAAGGGGGCGAGCGUUGUUCGGAUUUACUGGGCGUAAAGGGCGCGCAGGCGGCUAUCCAAGUCAGGCGUGAAAGCCCCGGGCUUAACCUGGGAGGUGCGUCUAGGACUGGGUGGCUAGAGUUCGGGAGAGGAGAGUGGAAUUCCCAGUGUAGAGGUGAAAUUCGUAGAUAUUGGGAAGAACACCGGUGGCGAAGGCGGCUCUCUGGACCGAGACUGACGCUGAGGCGCGAAAGCGUGGGGAGCAAACAGG
rnacentral:rRNA from 1 species